UCCAGGUGUGGUGGCACAUGCCUAUAGUCCCAGCUACUCAGGUGGCUCAGGUGGGAGGAUCGCUUGAGCCCAGGAGCUCUGGGCUGUAGUGCGCUAUACGGAUCGGGCGUCCACAUAAGUUCAGCAUUAUUAUGGUGACCUCCUGGGAGUGGGGGACCACUAGGUUGCCUAAGGAUGGGUGAACCGGCCCAGGUCGGAAACAGAGCAGGUCAAAACUCCCGUGCUGAUCAGUAGUGGGAUCUCGCCUGUGAAUAGCCACUGCAUUCCAGCCUGGCCAACAUAGUGAGACCCCGUCUCU
rnacentral:SRP_RNA from 1 species